rnacentral:ncRNA from 1 species
UGUCUCCUCCAACUCUCCAAGAAUUGGAUUAACCCGCUACCGCAAGGUUGCGGGUUUUUUUU